rnacentral:tRNA from 1 species
UAGGUGUUAGUUUAAGUAGAAUAUGUGCUUUGGGAGCAUAAGGACUGGUGGUGCAGAUGCCUAG